rnacentral:misc_RNA from 1 species
GCUGACCAUUCAGAGCGUGCAUCGAGGACACCACCUAGCUCCACAUACUGCACCCCCGCCCUUUUUGUCGCUUCCCCGGUGUGCCUCUCGUGUGUGGUGCCCAUCCCGUUGCCCCUCCCCUUCUUUUCCCCCGCCCUUGCCCCCCCCCGUCCCCUUGACACGCUCAGUGCCUUUCUCCUCGUCGCUCCAUACCGCAGACACUCGAGCGAGGGCUGCGACAAGGGCAGCAACGCAAGAGCCGCCGCACUCUCCUCUUUCGUCGCCUGAAGAAGCUCAGUGUUCGCUAGGUCACACGCGGCGAUCACGCACGAAACACAGACAUCCACACAAGUGCAGACGCACUUCCCCCUCAAAAAGGGGGAAAACGGAAGAGAAAUCGUUCACGCAUCUCAAUUCGCUCUUUCCCCCUUUUUCCCUCUCUCUUUUUUUCUGGUGUCUUUUUUUUUGUUGUUGCCUCGGCUUGUCUUGCUCUCAUCGUGAACGCCAGAGUACUUUAUCUCCCUUUCCCUCCCUCUUUCCGGUGUCCUUUCUCUGUUUCUCUGCUUCUCUGUCUCGCUCGCUUCUCUUCCGUUCUCUGGUUCCCAACGACUUCUUUUGGGGAUUUGCCUCCGCAGCUCCUCCGCGACUCUCCCGUCCAUAUUCGUCGCCUCUGCCGCUUCUCUCUCGGGUGUCCUCAGUAGCUGCCAACGAGGCCAACUAGAGAGAGCACACGUACACACACGUGCACACACGAAGCUCAGCUGCCAUACAUCUGCUCCGCUAAUGUACUCAUGGCAACACGCAAGUCAGCAGACACCAAUGGAGUGAGAUCUAGAGCGAAGCCGCCGCCUUUGCCGUUGUGCAAACGUGGUCGGAAUUCUCCGUCAUCUUGUCUGUCUUCCGUCUCUCAACCUCCCGUUCUGUAUCUUCGACAUGCCUAAAAAG